rnacentral:rRNA from 1 species
AAGCUUUGAUCCAGAGAUUUCCGAAUGGGGAAACCCAGCAUGAGUUAUGUCAUGUUAUCGAUAUGUGAAUACAUAGCAUAUCAGAAGGCACACCCGGAGAACUGAAACAUCUUAGUACCCGGAGGAAGAGAAAGAAAAUUCGAUUCCCUUAGUAGCGGCGAGCGAAACGGGAAGAGCCCAAACCAACAAGCUUGCUUGUUGGGGUUGUAGGACACUCUAUACGGAGUUACAAAGGACGACAUUAGACGAAUCAUCUGGAAAGAUGAAUCAAAGAAGGUAAUAAUCCUGUAGUCGAAAAUGUUGUCUCUCUUGAGUGGAUCCUGAGUACGACGGAGCACGUGAAAUUCCGUCGGAAUCUGGGAGGACCAUCUCCUAAGGCUAAAUACUCUCUAGUGACCGAUAGUGAACCAGUACCGUGAGGGAAAGGUGAAAAGCACCCCGGAAGGGGAGUGAAAUAGAACCUGAAACCGUGUGCUUACAAGUAGUCAGAGCCCGUUAAUGGGUGAUGGCGUGCCUUUUGUAGAAUGAACCGGCGAGUUACGAUUUGAUGCAAGGUUAAGCAGUAAAUGUGGAGCCGUAGCGAAAGCGAGUCUGAAUAGGGCGUUUAGUAUUUGGUCGUAGACCCGAAACCAGGUGAUCUACCCUUGGUCAGGUUGAAGUUCAGGUAACACUGAAUGGAGGACCGAACCGACUUACGUUGAAAAGUGAGCGGAUGAACUGAGGGUAGCGGAGAAAUUCCAAUCGAACCUGGAGAUAGCUGGUUCUCUCCGAAAUAGCUUUAGGGCUAGCCUCAAGUGAUGAUUAUUGGAGGUAGAGCACUGUUUGGACGAGGGGCCCCUCUCGGGUUACCGAAUUCAGACAAACUCCGAAUGCCAAUUAAUUUAACUUGGGAGUCAGAACAUGGGUGAUAAGGUCCGUGUUCGAAAGGGAAACAGCCCAGACCACCAGCUAAGGUCCCAAAAUAUAUGUUAAGUGGAAAAGGAUGUGGCGUUGCCCAGACAACUAGGAUGUUGGCUUAGAAGCAGCCAUCAUUUAAAGAGUGCGUAAUAGCUCACUAGUCGAGUGACACUGCGCCGAAAAUGUACCGGGGCUAAACAUAUUACCGAAGCUGUGGAUUGUCCUUUGGACAAUGGUAGGAGAGCGUUCUAAGGGCGUUGAAGCAUGAUCGUAAGGACAUGUGGAGCGCUUAGAAGUGAGAAUGCCGGUGUGAGUAGCGAAAGACGGGUGAGAAUCCCGUCCACCGAUUGACUAAGGUUUCCAGAGGAAGGCUCGUCCGCUCUGGGUUAGUCGGGUCCUAAGCUGAGGCCGACAGGCGUAGGCGAUGGAUAACAGGUUGAUAUUCCUGUACCACCUAUAAUCGUUUUAAUCGAUGGGGGGACGCAGUAGGAUAGGCGAAGCGUGCGAUUGGAUUGCACGUCUAAGCAGUAAGGCUGAGUAUUAGGCAAAUCCGGUACUCGUUAAGGCUGAGC